GAGUAGGAGAUCUCUACAGAGGGCUCUGGACAAUCAACAGUAGGAGGUUCCAUAAAGUGAAGUGCCGUGUGCUCUUGUUGAGUCAUAACAGCCCCAUGUAGUGCUACAGACUGGGGAAGAGUGGAAAGCUGCCUGACAGGAAAGGAUCUGGGGGGUUUUGGUCAACAAUGACAUGAAAAUGAGCCAGCAGUGUGUCCAGGUGGCCAAGAGGUCCAGUGGCAUCCUGGCCUGUAUCAGCAAUAGUGUGGCCAGCAGGACCAGAGCAGUGAUUUUCCCCCUAUACUUGGCGCUGAUGCAGUUUCAUCACCAGAGAGGCUGCCUCCACAUGACAGUGCUACCAACCCUUCCUUGUGUCCAGGCAUCACACUGCUGCUCCAUCAGUUUUACUGGUAAAAAUAUCUGUACAGUCAUACUGCAAACAAGAUCACAAGUGCUGCCUAGCAGUCCUCAAUGGCAGUCAAAUAAAAUUUUCUGAGAGAAGUGAA